rnacentral:rRNA from 1 species
UACAGAGGUCUCGAGCGUUAGGCGGAAUCACUGGGCUUAAAGCGUGUGUAGGUGGAUGCCUAAGUACCUUGUGAAAUCCCACGGCUUAACCGUGGAACUGCUUGGUAUACUGGGUGUCUUGAGUCACUCAGGGGCGAGCGGAACAAAUGGUGGAGCGGUGAAAUGCGUAGAUAUCAUUUGGAACGCCAAUGGUGAAAACAGGUAGCUGGGAGUGUGCUGACACUGAGACACGAAAGCCAGGGGAGCAAACGGG